UUGCCUUUUCAAAAAAAAAUAAUAAUAAUUCAGAUUUAUGGUGACUGACAAAAUAAAUAAUUACACUCUACAGAAGUUGACUAUAAGAUGAAUUUAUUAGAGUCAAUAAAUUUAAAUCGACGGUUAGUAAUCCAAAUCGACGUGCAAAGAAUCUUGUACCUAUAUUUUUCAAAAAAUUAGAAUCCAAAUCGACAGUUAUGAAAAUAAAUAUUUGUAUAUAAUCCAAAACCCGAUACCCAAUCCCUAACCUGAAAAAUAAUCGAACUGGAUCCCUUAAAUCUAAUUCUAUUCACAUUCGGUUAUACAAACCCAAUAAGUAAUAUCUUAAUAAUUAACGGGUUAUAUCCGUGUAACUUAUUUUGAUUUUUACCACCUAUAAUUACAAUUAAUCAAUUUGUAAUUACAAUCUAAUGACGUUUCUAAUUUACAUAUCUAAUGACCAUCCUUACAGGAAAAUCUUUACCACCGUUUUUACCUCGGAGAUCGGAUAAGUAAACCACGCUCCGUUCUGAAGAGUCGUAUAAGUCAUCCAUAAUCUGGCUAUUGAUUAAAAGAAGAAAUCACUAAUCGGUUUUUACCUGAACACCUGUAGAAAUUCUCGAUAGUAAGAUCAGAGUUGCAGCCUGUAUUAAUAAAAUCUACAUGAAAAAAACUCGAGAACACUUCAAAAACUCGCCCGAGUUCUCAGAGAUCGGAGAAGGGAGAUGAACAUAAAAAACUCCGGAUAAGAACAUAAAAAAAAUUCUACAAUGUUGGUCAUGAACACAGAUCGGAGAUGAACAUAAAAUCGGACAUUAAAAAAACUUCGAAUAAAAAAAAUCGCCCUAAAACUUCAAGAAAACUACCUUCUUCGAAGUAAAUAAGGUAUGUCACCGGUGAUUUACUUCUUCCACCUUUCCAUGACGGAAUAAUGGGUCAUCGGCAACAUCAUCCACAAUGUCAGCGGCAACCGUACAGUCUUGAAGAACCCCAGUGACGGAAUCUUCUUGAAUGCUUGGUCUAGUUGAUUCACAGGAAAAGCGACGAAUUUGGAAGACAAGGGAAGAAUUUGUAAGCAGGCGAAGAAUUUGGAAAUUUGGGGGAAAACGAAAAUAGGGUUUUAAGAGGUGGACUCUAUUUAGGUUACGAAAUUGGUGAAGCUAUUUAAGUUUUAUAAUUUUUCCGGAAAAAGGGUCCUUAUCCGUUUACGAAAGAAGGUCCUUACCCGAUUACUUAGGUUACGAAAACCUAAAUAGGGAAGCUAAUUAGGUUAUGAAAACCUAAAAUUUCGAGUCCUUACCCAAUUACUUACAUCUGAGGAGUUUUCUGUCCCCAAAUGUUGAGGAGAAGAAGCCAUUUACAGUUGAUUUGGAGAAGAAGCCAUUACUUUUCCUGUCAAAGCGAUG
rnacentral:lncRNA from 1 species